rnacentral:rRNA from 1 species
GUAGGUGGCAAGCGUUGUCCGGAAUUAUUGGGCGUAAAGCGCGCGCAGGCGGUCCUUUAAGUCUGAUGUGAAAGCCCACGGCUCAACCGUGGAGGGUCAUUGGAAACUGGGGGACUUGAGUACAGAAGAGGAAAGCGGAAUUCCAAGUGUAGCGGUGAAAUGCGUAGAGAUUUGGAGGAAUACCAGUGGCGAAGGCGGCUUUCUGGUCUGUAACUGACGCUGAGGCGCGAAAGCGUGGGGAGCAAACAGGAUUAGAUACCCUGGUAGUCCACGCCGUAAACGAUGAGUGCUAAGUGUUAGGGGGUUUCCCGCCCCCCUUAGUGCUGCAGCUAACGCAUUAAGCACUCCGCCUGGGGAGUACGGCCGCAAGGCUG